CACGCGGGUAACCGUACCCGGAAACUGGGAUAACUUCGGGAAACCGGAGCUAAUACCGGAUAAUAUUUCGAACCGCAUGGUUCGAUAGUGAAAGAUGGCUUUGCUGUCACUUAUAGAUGGACCUGCGCCGUAUUAGCUAGUUGGUAAGGUAACGGCUUACCAAGGCAACGAUACGUAGCCGACCUGAGAGGGUGAUCGGCCACACUGGAACUGAGACACGGUCCAGACUCCUACGGGAGGCAGCAGUAGGGAAUCUUCCGCAAUGGGCGAAAGCCUGACGGAGCAACGCCGCGUGAGUGAUGAAGGUCUUCGGAUCGUAAAACUCUGUUAUUAGGGAAGAACAAACGUGUAAGUAACUGUGCACGUCUUGACGGUACCUAAUCAGAAAGCCACGGCUAACUACGUGCCAGCAGCCGCGGUAAUACGUAGGUGGCAAGCGUUAUCCGGAAUUAUUGGGCGUAAAGCGCGCGUAGGCGGUUUUUUAAGUCUGAUGUGAAAGCCCACGGCUCAACCGUGGAGGGUCAUUGGAUACUGGAAAACUUGAGUGCAGAAGAGGAAAGUGGAAUUCCAUGUGUAGCGGUGAAAUGCGCAGAGAUAUGGAGGAACACCAGUGGCGAAGGCGACUUUCUGGUCUGUAACUGACGCUGAUGUGCGAAAGCGUGGGGAUCAAACAGGAUUAGAUACCCUGGUAGUCCACGCCGUAAACGAUGAGUGCUAAGUGUUACGGGGUUUCCGCCCCUUAGUGCUGCAGCUAACGCAUUAAGCACUCCGCCUGGGGAGUACGACCGCAAGGUUGAAACUCAAAGGAAUUGACGGGACCCGCACAAGCGGUGGAGCAUGUGGUUUAAUUCGAAGCAACGCGAAGAUCUUACCAAUCUUGACAUCCUUUGACCCUUCUAGAGAU
rnacentral:rRNA from 1 species